rnacentral:tRNA from 1 species
UGGGUUUGUAGCCCAGUCUGGAUAGGGCACCAGACUCCUAAUCUGGAGAUCGAGGGUUCAAAUCCCUCCAAAUCCGU